AGCAGCCGCGGUAAUUCCAGCUCCAAUAGCGUAUAUUAAAGUUGUUGCAGUUAAAAAGCUCGUAGUUGAAUUUCGAGAUCAGUACGCUGGUCGUGCCUUCGGUAUGCACUGGUGUCACUGGUUUCUCCCUUCUGAAGAACCGUCAUGCCAUUCAGUUGGUGUGGCGGGGAAUCAGGACUGUUACUUUGAAAAAAUUAGAGUGUUUAAAGCAGGCUCGCGCUUGAAUACAUUAGCAUGGAAUAAUGAAAUAGGACGUUUGACCCUAUUUUGUUGGUUUCUAGGAUCGACGUAAUGAUUAAUAGGGAUAGUUGGGGGCAUUAGUAUUCAAUUGUCAGAGGUGAAAUUCUUGGAUUUAUUGAAGACUAACUACUGCGAAAGCAUUUGCCAAGGAUGUUUUCAUUAAUCAAGAACGAAAGUUAGGGGAUCGAAGACGAUCAGAUACCGUCGUAGUCUUAACCAUAAACUAUGCCGACUAGGGAUCGGAUGAUGUUAAUUUUUUAAUGACUCAUUCGGCGCCUUACG
rnacentral:rRNA from 2 species